rnacentral:rRNA from 1 species
AUUGAACGCUGGCGGCAGGCCUAACACAUGCAAGUCGAACGGUAACAGGAAGCAGCUUGCUGCUUCGCUGACGAGUGGCGGACGGGUGAGUAAUGUCUGGGAAACUGCCUGAUGGAGGGGGAUAACUACUGGAAACGGUAGCUAAUACCGCAUAACGUCGCAAGACCAAAGAGGGGGACCUUAGGGCCUCUUGCCAUCGGAUGUGCCCUGAUGGGAUUAGCUAGUAGGUGGGGUAACGGCUCACCUAGGCGACGAUCCCUAGCUGGUCUGAGAGGAUGACCAGCCACACUGGAACUGAGACACGGUCCAGACUCCUACGGGAGGCAGCAGUGGGGAAUAUUGCACAAAGGGCGCAAGCCUGAUGCAGCCAUGCCGCGUGUAUGAAGAAGGCCUUCGGGUUGUAAAGUACUUUCAGCGGGGAGGAAGGGAGUAAAGUUAAUACCUUUGCUCAUUGACGUUACCCGCAGAAGAAGCACCGGCUAACUCCGUG